GAGCGUUGUUCGGAUUCACUGGGCGUAAAGGGUGCGUAGGUGGUGAGGUAAGUCGGAUGUGAAAUCUCCGGGCUCAACCCGGAAAUGGCAUUGGAAACUACCUUGCUGGAGGAUUUGAGGGGGGAUUGGAAUACUUGGUGUAGCAGUGAAAUGCGUAGAUAUCGAGUGGAACACCAGUGGCGAAGGCGAAUCCCUGGAAAAUACCUGACACUGAGGCACGAAAGCUAGGGGAGCAAACAGG
rnacentral:rRNA from 1 species